rnacentral:lncRNA from 1 species
GAAGAUAUAACAUUCACAUCAAGCCCAGAGGCCUGAGAGGAGCCAGCCAGAAGACAGCUCUUUCGUACCUUGUCCUUAAGGAAGUAAAAUCUACCUUCCAACAGGCAUAUGAAAAAUGCUCAAUUCCACUUGUCUUGAAGGCAAAUGCAAAAAAAAAGAAUUAUGAAAUACAUCUAGGAUGGUUACAAUAAAAAUAAAUCGAGCAAUAAGAAAUGUUUGUGAGGUUAAAGAAAAACUGUAGUCCUCAUAUAUUGCUGGUGGGAAUGUAAAAUAUAGCCACUGUGGCAAAUAAUAUAGCAUAAUAUAGUAUUUCUUUUUUUCUUUUUCUUUUUUGGUACUGGGACUUGAACCCAACGAUGCUUAACCACUAAGCCAUAUCCCUAGCCCCUUUUUAUUUUUUAUUUGAGACAGGGUCUCACUAAGUUACUUAGAGCAUUGCUAAGUUGCUGAGGCUGGCUUUGAGCUUGCAAUCCUCCUGCCUCAGCAUUCCCAGCUAUGCUACUAUGCCUAGCACAAUACAGCAUUUCUAUUUCAAACAUAUUUACCAUAUCACCCAAUAAUUCCAUUGCUCAGAAUAUACUUAUAUGAAUUGAAAACAUACAUCAAAUGUUUAUAUUUGUACACAAAUGUUUAUAGUAGCAUCAUUUAUUUAUUUUAAAUAUCUUUAUUUCAGUUAUUUAGUUUUAUGUGGUGCUGAGGAUCGAACCCAUGGUCUCACACAUGCGAAGCGAGCAUUCUACCACUGAGCCACAACCCCAGCCCAAGUAGCAUUACUUAUAACAGACAAAGAAUAGAAAUGACUCCAAUUAGUUAAUAAACGGAUAAACAAAAUGUAUCACAUUCAUAAAUGGAUUAUUAUCCAGCCAUAAAAAGGAAUAAAGCACUAUUACUGCUAGAACAGGGAUGAACCUUAAAGACAUUAUGGUCAAUGAAAGAGGCCAGACACAAAAAGCCACAUGUUGUAUGAUUUCAUUUAUAUGAGAUGUCCAGAAUAGGCAAUUCCAUGUAGACAGAAAACAGAAACGUGAUUGCACAGAGUUUGGGGGGCAAGGAGAUGAGGAAUGGCUACUAAUUAACAUGGGAUUUCAUUUUAGAUAAAAAAUUCUGGAUUUAGUGGUGAUAGGUGCACAAUCUUAUAAAUAUGUGCUUAAAAAAAUCAAGGAAUUGUACACUUUUAAAUGACAACUUUUAUAGUAUCUAAAUUAUGUUUCAAUUGAAAAAGAUAAAAUAACAAACUGUACUUCUGAUCUUUUUCCC